rnacentral:rRNA from 1 species
CAGUCGCCGCGGGAAUACGUAGGUGGCAAGCGUUGUCCGGAAUUAUUGGGCGUAAAGGGCUCGCAGGCAGUUUCUUAAGUCUGAUGUGAAAGCCCCCGGCUCAACCGGGGAGGGUCAUUGGAAACUGGGAAACUUGAGUGCAGAAGAGGAGAGUGGAAUUCCACGUGUAGCGGUGAAAUGCGUAGAGAUGUGGAGGAACACCAGUGGCGAAGGCGACUCUCUGGUCUGUAACUGACGCUGAGGAGCGAAAGCGUGGGGAGCGAACAGGAUUAGAUACCCCCGUAGUCCCUGUCUCUUAUAC